CUGGCGGCGUGCCUAAUACAUGCAAGUCGAACGAACUCUGGUAUUGAUUGGUGCUUGCAUCAUGAUUUACAUUUGAGUGAGUGGCGAACUGGUGAGUAACACGUGGGAAACCUGCCCAGAAGCGGGGGAUAACACCUGGAAACAGAUGCUAAUACCGCAUAACAACUUGGACCGCAUGGUCCGAGUUUGAAAGAUGGCUUCGGCUAUCACUUUUGGAUGGUCCCGCGGCGUAUUAGCUAGAUGGUGAGGUAACGGCUCACCAUGGCAAUGAUACGUAGCCGACCUGAGAGGGUAAUCGGCCACAUUGGGACUGAGACACGGCCCAAACUCCUACGGGAGGCAGCAGUAGGGAAUCUUCCACAAUGGACGAAAGUCUGAUGGAGCAACGCCGCGUGAGUGAAGAAGGGUUUCGGCUCGUAAAACUCUGUUGUUAAAGAAGAACAUAUCUGAGAGUAACUGUUCAGGUAUUGACGGUAUUUAACCAGAAAGCCACGGCUAACUACGUGCCAGCAGCCGCGGUAAUACGUAGGUGGCAAGCGUUGUCCGGAUUUAUUGGGCGUAAAGCGAGCGCAGGCGGUUUUUUAAGUCUGAUGUGAAAGCCUUCGGCUCAACCGAAGAAGUGCAUCGGAAACUGGGAAACUUGAGUGCAGAAGAGGACAGUGGAACUCCAUGUGUAGCGGUGAAAUGCGUAGAUAUAUGGAAGAACACCAGUGGCGAAGGCGGCUGUCUGGUCUGUAACUGACGCUGAGGCUCGAAAGUAUGGGUAGCAAACAGGAUUAGAUACCCUGGUAGUCCAUACCGUAAACGAUGAAUGCUAAGUGUUGGAGGGUUUCCGCCCUUCAGUGCUGCAGCUAACGCAUUAAGCAUUCCGCCUGGGGAGUACGGCCGCAAGGCUGAAACUCAAAGGAAUUGACGGGGGCCCGCACAAGCGGUGGAGCAUGUGGUUUAAUUCGAAGCUACGCGAAGAACCUUACCAGGUCUUGACAUACUAUGCAAAUCUAAGAGAUUAGACGUUCCCUUCGGGGACAUGGAUACAGGUGGUGCAUGGUUGUCGUCAGCUCGUGUCGUGAGAUGUUGGGUUAAGUCCCGCAACGAGCGCAACCCUUAUUAUCAGUUGCCAGCAUUAAGUUGGGCACUCUGGUGAGACUGCCGGUGACAAACCGGAGGAAGGUGGGGAUGACGUCAAAUCAUCAUGCCCCUUAUGACCUGGGCUACACACGUGCUACAAUGGAUGGUACAACGAGUUGCGAACUCGCGAGAGUAAGCUAAUCUCUUAAAGCCAUUCUCAGUUCGGAUUGUAGGCUGCAACUCGCCUACAUGAAGUCGGAAUCGCUAGUAAUCGCGGAUCA
rnacentral:rRNA from 2 species